UGCCAUUUUUGUGGUGUGCCGCAACUCCUCUCAAAACCCCUCCUCUGCCAUUCCAAUUUCCUCCCUUUUCCGACCAGAUAACGGCUAACGAGAGCGCCCAACGAAUCUCUCGACGAUAAGUCCUCCUCCCCUCACCCUUUUCGUGUUUUGUUUUAAGAAAAUAAAAAGAAAAGAACCAAAAUAACUUAAAAAAAAGGCAGUAAAAGAACAGAGAAAAAUAAAACAAAAUCCUACCUUCAAAAGUAUUUUUCUGUAUAUUUCCUUUUUUAUUUCGGUACAAAAAUUUCCUCCCCUUUUUACAUAAAUCCAUUGGCUUUUUAUAGCCUAAAACCUCUUUACAAUUUGUUGUCGUAUAUUCAGUCAUUGCUACUGUUUGUGGUUUGUUGCAGGUGACGAACGUGCAUGGUGGGUGUGGGGAAUUGCUGAACGUGGGUGGAGACGGUUGCCAUGACGUGGGCAGUUGCUGCGGCGCCGAUUUGCUUCAAUCUGCUUAGGGUUUCUGCUAUACCCUGUGUUCUUUUGGGCUAACAGGCUAGUGCUAGCAAUUUGGGUUGUUUGGGUAUUGGGCUUGUAAUUUGGUUAUUGGGUCAGGGUGUUAUUGGGUUUAAAACUGGGUCUGUAAUUUAUUGUAUUUUUAUUUUAAGGUUUAUGUAUUUGGGCCCGGGCUAAAAUGGCCUAUUACAACGUUAUCUCGUGAUAAUAUUUUUGUCAUUGAGUCGUUAAUUGUCGUUAACGGUGCAACGGUAAAUUGACAUAACACGUUAAAUCAUCAUUUCAAAUAAAAAUUUUAGGUUAAUUUAUAUAAUCAGUCUUCAUUUUUUUUCGUUUUGUGUAAUUUAUUUUUUUCUUUUUUUUAAAAUUUUUUCUAUUCUCUUCUGAUUCUCUCUCUAUUUUCCUUCUUUCUCUAUUUCUUUUAACUAGUCUCUAUACUUUUAUUGUUUUGAACAAUUUAAUUUUUUUGAGUGAGACAAGCUUCUGGACUAGUUUUAACAAAUAGAAAAUAUAGGAAAACUACGUUAAAAUGAAUGAAAAAGGGAGGAAAAAAUAGGGAGAAGCAAAAGAGAAUGGAAAAAAAAAUAAAGUUAAAAGAAUAUAAAAGAAAAAAUUAAAUUGCUCAAAAUGAAAAAAUAUAGAAACCAAUUGUAGAAUUUAACUUAAAUUUUUCGUUUGAAAUGAUGGUUUAACGUGGCACGUCAGCUUAUCAUUACACAUGUAACUAAAACAUUACAACACGAUAACAUAAGUGACUAAAAUGUAACGUAAGGCAAACAAAAGCAACUAUUUUAAUAGUCUACCCAUGUCAAAAUUGCUACUAAACUCAAUAUCCGGAGAUUAUUAGGU
rnacentral:lncRNA from 1 species